CCACUUCAGCAUCUCCCUGCAUCUGCUCGGCCCGCUGCAAGCACUGCUUUGCCUUAGGGCUGAAGAGCAAGCGAGUGGGAAGGUUCAGAGCAGAACCAAAGCACCCCAGCAUCCAAAAUGCAAUGCACAAAGCAACACAGGUUGCUGCCAGGCCCAUAAGGCACCCAGCACCUGAGAAAGCAUCUCUAGGAGCUCAACGCCAAGAAAUGGGCGGUGCCUGGAUGCCAGGCUCCAUCCGAAUGAGACGCCGAAGGCCGGGGCAGGCUGGCACAAAGGCGAGCUGGCAGGAAUUCCUGCACUCGGCGCUCUGAAAAUCCACCCUGAAGAGUUCUGCCCCAUUUGGCCCCGAAGGGCGCGAGCACAGAGCGGGGGGGGAUAGUAAUCAUAAUGGUAAAAAUGGGGCAGAAAUAAAGCUGGGACCUUCCUGU
rnacentral:lncRNA from 7 species